AAUUAUGUAAAGGACUUUGAAAUGCCUUGCUGAUGAAAUGUGCUAUACAAAUACAAUUUGAUUGAUUGAUAAAAUGUCACUGAACUCCAAUACAGAACCGCAAAGCAUUCUGGGAGAUGAAGGCAGAGGUAAGGCGUUAGCCGCUCAACCUCUUAUAGCCAGCUAAGCUAGGUUGGUGGAAUCAACAAGCUCACUCACUCUUUGGUUACCUAGCAACUCAUUCACUCUUUGGUUACCUAGCAACUCAUUCACUCUUCAGUUACCUAGCAACAACCUGUUAAAGUAACUUGAGCAACAAGCGGGCUGUGGCGCAGGGCAUUCUGGGUAAAAUCCCCAGUUAAUUUUAAUAAUUUUGUCUUACAGCAACUGAAAACUUUUUAAUAUUUAAGGAUUUUAAUACAGACAUGUUGUUGUACAUCAGUUCAAUUAAAACUGAUGCAUUUUUAACCCUUUUGUUGCCUAAAAUGCCCUAACAAAUAGCAUUUUGCCAGUUAAUUAAUUGAUUACUAAUAUAGUUGACUGUUAUUCAGCAAUUGAUUAAUCACCAGAUAAAUUAAAUUUAUUUAGAAAUCAAACUCCCAAACUCUGGUGAAAGAGUAGAGAUGCACAGGAUGCAAGUUGUUUGAGGUUAAGUGUGAAAGAAAUACAAUAAAUAUGAUUUACAUUUUUUUAUUUAAUGAGUUGCUGAUGAUCCUGAAGAUAUUUCUGUUCUCUCUAAACUCAUCUCUUUGAUUUUGGUUUCUGGUGGAAAGCUACCUGAAAAAAAGUCAAAAGGAAGACAGUGCAUCAUUAUCGUUCCCUUUAAAAUGCUUCAAUCCCCCGUAUUUCCUCCCCUUUACACACAUCCUUCCCGUCCAGGGACAGUGUGUGUUUAUCCAUAUUCUGAUGCAGGUAAACUGCAGCUCAGCUGAGGGACGGCGAACAGCAGAUAAGUGGUUUUCCGACUGUGACAAAGUGGCACCGAAACUGAAUUUCACACAGCGAGCGGCGAUGCAAAGCUGUGAACCAAAAGUAGGAGUCAGGGAGAAAAAACCUCCAAAUCCUUCUGAAAAUACUCAAAGGAAGACACUGACUGCCAGUAAUACUCGGCACAACCACCAUCUUUCGCUCUUUCUUCUGGUUUGAAUGAAACUGAAACAGCAGGCAGACUGAUGAAACUGAGCUCUGGAUGAUGAAACCAGGAGCUUAUUGUUUUUUUCUGCCGAUUUAAAAAAGUGAAUCAGAAUUUAACCGACAUCUUUGCACCAGAUUUCUGUAACCAUUUGAUCCAACAGACAUGAACUCGCUAACCGUCUUCUGCUGAAACGACUUCCAUCCGUCCUCCUCUCAACACGUCCCCUCUCCGUCUCUGCAGAUAUAAAAAC